AGCGAACGCUGGCGGCAGGCUUAACACAUGCAAGUCGAACGGGCAUCUUCGGAUGUCAGUGGCAGACUGGUGAGUAACACGUGGGAACGUACCCUUCGGUUCGGAAUAACUCAGGGAAACUUGAGCUAAUACCGGAUACGCCCUUUUGGGGAAAGGUUUACUGCCGAAGGAUCGGCCCGCGUCUGAUUAGCUUGUUGGUGGGGUAACGGCCUACCAAGGCGACGAUCAGUAGCUGGUCUGAGAGGAUGAUCAGCCACACUGGGACUGAGACACGGCCCAGACUCCUACGGGAGGCAGCAGUGGGGAAUAUUGGACAAUGGGCGCAAGCCUGAUCCAGCCAUGCCGCGUGAGUGAUGAAGGCCUUAGGGUUGUAAAGCUCUUUUGUCCGGGACGAUAAUGACGGUACCGGAAGAAUAAGCCCCGGCUAACUUCGUG
rnacentral:rRNA from 1 species